UUGUAAUACAAGAACAUUUUCUUGAAAUAAAAACAACCAUAUAUAUUUUUCUAAAACAUUCUGGACCUCUUAUUACUGACAACUAUCCCACUUGAACUAUUCAGCUUUAUAAGUAGACGUUUUUUUAAAAUGAAUCCAAGCAGAAAAGUAAAGGCCCUUUCUACAAGGAAAAAUAUCAGCUGGCCUCAGAUUUUUGUACAAUGACAUUCUUCUGUACAAGGAAAAUGUUAAGACCUAAGGCAAAAAGCGUCACCCCAAAAUGUUAUACGUGGAUAAAUCACCAUUGAAAUAUACAGUAAGAGGAAACUGUCAAAUAUGAAGGAACUCAGAGAAUACCUAUGAACCACUCUGGAAAUUAAAAACAAACAAAACAACAACCAAAAUCCAUGUAUGAGUGUAUCCAACUAAGAUGUUUAAAAAAAGGAUGAAAUCAGAAUAGAGAAAAUAUAAAUCAUCUAAGAAAAAAAUCAUUUAAAAAGUUCCAAAGUAACAAAAAUUGCUAAGUGUCAGAGAGGAUCUUGGUAGAAGUGCUUCUAGCCCCAGUCUAAAAUUGAAGCAUGAAGACAUUAUUAAAUGGCUCUUACUUUUAUUUUUUUUCCCCCGCAAUCUCCACUUUUGACUGAUAGAGAUCUUUUGGAAAUAACACUACUUGUGAUAAAGAAGCAACUGUUUCAAAGUAAAGUGUCCCUUCAGUUAGUCCUUUCAUUUUCAAAUUCAAUUCAAAUUCAAAUAAAAUUUAAAUAUAAUGAUUUUAAUAAAUAUAGAAUCUACCAAAUUAUCCAGUUUGUUACAGUAUUUCUGACUAGUUAGUGAUCCAUCUAGCUCUAUGUAUGCAUACAAAGAUGCCUGUAGUAGUAAUAAUAAUAACAAUUUUAAGAGCAAUAAUAUUUAAUAUUUAGUGUACAUCAAGCAACAUUCUAGGUGUUUUACACGGAUUAGCUCACAUAUUGUCAACUGUGUAGUAUAGUUACUAUCAUCGUCAUCUCUAUUUACAGAUGAGGAAAGUGAGGCACAGUUGUGCCCUGCCCAAGGACACAUGAAAGGACCAGGAGGCAUCUGAAAGCAUCACUCAGACUCUCGAGUCCCACUCUGCCACCAAGCUUACUGGCCUCCCUAGGAUCAGUGGUGUAAUCCCCAGGACUGCACUCCUCGCCACGGUGCUCAUUGGCUUGCAUAAUCAAGGCUUCCUGGUCUUUUGUUGAAGGUUUCACAUGCAGAAGAAGCUUCAUGGACCCAUCCCACAGGAAGGAUUUCCAGUAGGAAGGCCGAGGUGUUACCUGGCAGCUGACUCUCAGUUAUACAUAACCCCCACCUCCGGGACCUGGUGAUCUGACAAAGGUGCUCAGACAUCAUCCCAUAGCCCGACGACUCAUCCACUUGUCUACCUGUCAAUGCCAUAGUAAUAGAACGUUCAGGUGGCCUGACUUAGUUGUCUGUUCAUGUCUCAAAAGACAUGUCUCUGAGUUGUAAUAUAAGACGUUCUGAGAGAUUAGAUAUUGCUUCAGCAAUAUCUUGCUCAGCUAUCUCCCUUAGAUAUGCUUAUCAGUCCGUUUGAACUGGGGUGCAUGUGGGAAAGGGGAGGGGCGGUCCCCUGGAUCCCAGCACUGACGGCAAGUGAUCAGGUGGGAGUGAAGCCCUGAGAAACGAUUCUCCAGGAGAAUUAAAAGCCUUAAAACAAAAGAAUAGUUUUUAGAGACCGACCAGGGCUGCUGGCAUUGAAAGGUCGAACUGAUGCUAAAUCAUUCAUUCACUCAUCACACAUUUUCUGAGCUCCGUGCUUUACUCCAGAGAGGCAAAGAUGAA